GAUGAACGCUGGCGGUGUGCCUAAUACAUGCAAGUCGAGCGAACGGACGAGAAGCUUGCUUCUCUGAUGUUAGCGGCGGACGGGUGAGUAACACGUGGAUAACCUACCUAUAAGACUGGGAUAACUUCGGGAAACCGGAGCUAAUACCGGAUAAUAUUUUGAACCGCAUGGUUCAAAAGUGAAAGACGGUCUUGCUGUCACUUAUAGAUGGAUCCGCGCUGCAUUAGCUAGUUGGUAAGGUAACGGCUUACCAAGGCAACGAUGCAUAGCCGACCUGAGAGGGUGAUCGGCCACACUGGAACUGAGACACGGUCCAGACUCCUACGGGAGGCAGCAGUAGGGAAUCUUCCGCAAUGGGCGAAAGCCUGACGGAGCAACGCCGCGUGAGUGAUGAAGGUCUUCGGAUCGUAAAACUCUGUUAUUAGGGAAGAACAUAUGUGUAAGUAACUGUGCACAUCUUGACGGUACCUAAUCAGAAAGCCACGGCUAACUACG
rnacentral:rRNA from 1 species